rnacentral:pre_miRNA from 1 species
UUGGGUGAAAUCAAUGUAAGACCUACACUUUGGAAAUGGAACCCAUAUAAAGUAGAGGGAUAUACAUUGAUUUUACCCAA